UUCAAGCUGUUGUAUUAUCCCAACUGUUGAGCAUCGUCAUGAGGGCCCUCUUGAUUCUUUCCUUAAUCGCGUUGUCCACGUCAACUCUUAUUAAAAAGUGCUCAGAUCCAGCAUGUACCCUGGAGUACAGUCCUGUUUGUGGGACGGAUGAAAAGGGUGAGGAACAUGUCUUUGGUAACAGAUGUUUUUUCAAAGGUGCUAACUGCAUGCGUAAGGAAUCAGGGUUGCCACCUUUAAAACUUAAAUUUUUUGGUUGCUCUUCCGCAAAAAUAUUAUAAUGCUAUAAAUAUCUGUGGGGAUAUGGGAGUUGUAAAAUGAAAUAUAUGUAAAUACGACUCUGA